AAAGGCUGCAAUCCAUCUCCCAUUUCACAUUUCACAUUUUUUCUUUGGGUUUGUUGGUUGGAACGGGUCUCGUCUCGUCUCAGCCCCACACACACACACCACUCACUCACUCACUUCUAUCAUCCCUCGCCGCACUCUCUCCUCUGUAACCGUAACUUCUGAAUCUGAAUCUGAACCUGAACCGAUCUCGCUACGUGUCAUCGCCGCUGCAUCACUACGUGUUGCAUGCCUAACCACCAAGGCCACCACCACCUCCUCCAUCCUCACAAUGAAUGAAGAGAGAGAAUAGAGAGAGGGAAUACGGUUGGACUUUGGAGUCUGUGGUUCUUGUCUUUUCAUCUUUCCUUUUCUCCUUCUUAAUCCCUGCUUUCUUCCUCCUUUUUUGUUCCUGUUUAUGCAGGAAACCCUAAUUUCUGAAAUCUUCUAAUAAUUGUCUCUUAAAAUAAGAAUACGAUGUGUGGAUCAUGGACAUUUUCGUUUUCUUCUAUUCUUAUCCGUUAAUGCUUCAGAUCUGUUUCGAUAAUGAAAGUAAUAGAACAGAUGUUAUGUAUAUUCUUUGUGUGAGGGUUUCCAAAUUUGGGCAUGUUUUGCAGCCUGGGCUCUUGAUUAUUUAUUUUCUCUUGGAACAUAGAAAUUGACAGAAGAGAGUGAGCACACAGAAGCACUCGUUAUAAUUCUAUACCGUUGCUCUUGCGUGCUCACUUCUCCUUCUGUCAGCUUCCAGUGCCGGAAAAAUGAAAAUCACCGCCCGUGUGAUCUGCAUCUGCAUCUGCCUCUGCUUCGUUCCAAACCCCCACACCCAAAAUCUAACCCUCUCUUUCUUUCUCUCUCGACAUUUUGGCGGAGCAAGCAGACCAGCGACCAUCACUGACUACUGCGCCAGGUUAUAUCAUUAUCAAACAGUGAAAAAAAAGAAGAAGCUUUUGUUUGUUUCUUUCUUUAGCCCUUGUUUUUAUUUUUAUCUCUUUACUGUUUCUUUCAAUUUUGUUAUUUUAAUCAUUGCUCGUGGUUCCAUUAGUAAUUUUUAUAAAUUAUCUUUGUUGUUAUCAAACGGAAAAGCGUGACUUUUGAUGCAAUAGCCCUAUUUCCUUGCCAGGAUCAACGAACCCCCAACAUUUUAAAAUUAAUAUUAAUAAAUAUAUUUAUACUAACAUUUCCCCUUUUAUCUUGCUUUUUAUAACAUUGAUAUAUAGCAGUACAUAGCAUGGAGCCAUUUCACGUCACAUAGCAUGGUCCUCACCAAUUUUUUCUCCUUGCUUCAAUGGACAUCACAAUUAUGCUGAUUUCGUCCCUUUCCAUAUAUUUUUUUUGCUAGAUCUUGUGCAUGCCAGUGGUUCCCUUACUCGGUAACUGUUACUGUUUCUAACUUUCUUCUUGUUGGCUAUGUGUUUGUUCUUUCCUGCAACUCAACGUUAUGAUGCAUAGAUUCUGGUUUCAUUAUAUUCUUGGACAAUAAGAAUUUCAAAAGGGGUGUUUCUUUUCUGUUCUUAAUAUUUAUUGCUUUUUUUUAGUUUAUCCUUUUCUUUUUUGAAAUAUUAUUUGUGGUUUAUGAUCUGAUAAACCCUAUCUACCUAACUCUACAGUUGCUUGUUUUGUGUCUGUGACUGAGCAAAUUGUUUGACUAUAUGAGCAUCCUUUUAAUCAUCAAUUCAAGGAGCAAUAAAUAUGGUUUUGGAAGUUCAGUUUUUUUUUCCCCUCUCUGGUGUAUUGUGAUAUGAUGUAACAAUAAUAAUGCUGGCCGAGUAAACUUAUUGGGAUUUCUCUUGAUAUUGAUUGAUUUUUAUGCAUACAAAAGCUGCAGCCGGCCUGUACUUUUUCUUCUUUGAUGCAGAUGAUAAAUAUGGGCAUAGACUUGGAUUGUUCGUACACUUCUUCCUUGUAGAGAUAACGUGCUGUCCGACCCAUAAGCAUGUUAAAAUGUUGGAAAACAAGAAUCAUUAUACCAAUGUGAAAUCAAUGUCUUGGAUAAGGAAUCGAGCAUUAGCAAUCUCCAUAGGAUUCUUUUCACAUAUAUUAUUAUCAUCUUUCGGUGGAGACAAUAUAUGCACUCCCACCAGCAAAAAGACAGUAAAGAGAUUAAAUAGGGCUUUGUUGGAGAAAUGCACCUUCUGAAAUCAUUAUUCUGAAGCAUGAAUGGAGAUUAAAUUUAUAUUUCUAGCAAAGGAUACUAUUCAAUCUAGUAAUUGCUCUUCAUUCUAUUAGAACUGGGUUGCAUCUUAAUCAAGCAAUCAUCCUAUUAAUUCCAGUUAAACAUUCACCGGAACAUUUUGUUAAAAUAAAACUUUAUUAUAUAUAUAUAUAUAUAUAUAUAUAUAUAUAUAUAUAUAUAUAUAUAUAUUGUAGAUCAUAGAAAGACAAACUUUAUGUUCUUGCUUCUUUCAAUUACUUUUAAUAUUAAAAAACACAAAGUAUACAAAAGUGGUGUUUACAAAGAUAAUCAUAUAACAUUACUAUUUGAGAGACUGUGAAUCCAACUAAAAUUAAUUAAAUAUUUAUUUAUGUAUUCAGUGAUAGCUGUUGAUCAGCCAACAACAGGUCCCUCCAAAAUUGCAUCCACUUAAUUUUUCAACUUUUGAACCGACCUUUGAUGGAGACAAUAUAUACACUCCCACCAGCAAGAUGACGGUUUGAAAGCUAAUAUCCUAGAUGGUGGAACGGGUUGCCGUGUUGGAAAAGGGCUCCAAUUGAUAGGUACGAGAUUCCGGGGAAAUUUUUCUGGACAGGCAAUGGUUUCAACUGAAUCUUCUUUGAAGCUCCUAGUAAUUCAUUUGUUAGCAGCAGCCAGGAAGAGGUUCAUCAGAAUGUACUUCUACUUAGUAGACUAUACGAAACAAAGUUAUCACAAUAAGAACGUCAUUAAGGCUGUGUUCUUUAAUUAUAUCGGUCAGUAUGAUCGUUGCAAAUUCUCAAUUUUAAGAGGUAGCAGCUCAUUACUCAAUACCGUGUGAGUUUUUUAGUUGUCAAGGCCGUCAUUGUCGAGAUUGAGACGGCUAAUACUGUAUAAGAUAAUGCUGUCUUACAUUUUAGGGAAGUGUCAUAUAUAGUGACAAAUCCUGUUUCUAUUA